CCAUGCUAAGAGAAUUUUUUUUAGCAUCCUGAGUUCUGGAUGAGUGGAUCAUUGAUUCUUGAUAUUAGAAUUGGAAUAUUUAAUGAUAGAUUUUCAUUCUCUUAGAUUUGAAGCAUAUGUUUCUCUAUCUAUUAGAAAAAAAAAUUGAGAUUGUUUAUCGAUCUUAGAUUUUUAUCUUCGAACAUUCAUCUACGGAGAAUAUAGUAAAGUUUGUUAAUAAUCUUUUGAUAGAUUGAUUGAGUCAAUAAUAGAUAAUG
rnacentral:lncRNA from 1 species